rnacentral:rRNA from 1 species
AAGAAUUCAGAGAUGGAUUUGUGCCUUCGGGAACCGUGAGACAGGUGCUGCAUGGCUGUCGUCAGCUCGUGUUGUGAAAUGUUGGGUUAAGUCCCGCAACGAGCGCAACCCUUAUCCUUUGUUGCCAGCGAUUAGGUCGGGAACUCAAAGGAGACUGCCAGUGAUAAACUGGAGGAAGGUGGGGAUGACGUCAAGUCAUCAUGGCCCUUACGACCAGGGCUACACACGUGCUACAAUGGCGCAUACAAAGAGAAGCGACCUCGCGAGAGCAAGCGGACCUCAUAAAGUGCGUCGUAGUCCGGAUUGGAGUCUGCAACUCGACUCCAUGAAGUCGGAAUCGCUAGUAAUCGUGGAUCAGAAUGCCACGGUGAAUACGUUCCCGGGCCUUGUACACACCGCCCGUCACACCAUGGGAGUGGGUUGCAAAAGAAGUAGGUAGCUUAACCUUCGGGAGGGCGCUUACCACUUUGUGAUUCAUGACUGGGGUGAAGUCGUAACAAGGUAACCGUAGGGGAACCUGCGGUUGGAUCACCUCCUUACCUUAAAGAA